UCGAGAGGCUUCGGCAAUGGGGGAAACCCUGACCGAGCGACGCCGCGUGGAGGAUGAAGGCCUUUGGGUUGUAAACUCCUGUCAUGAGGGAAGAAACGUCACCGUUCAAAUAGGUCGGUGACCUGACGGUACCUCAAGAGGAAGCUCCGGCUAACUCCGUGCCAGCAGCCGCGGUAAUACGGGGGGGGCAAGCGUUGUUCGGAAUUACUGGGCGUAAAGAGCGCGCAGGCGGUCGUUCAAGUCGAGUGUGAAAGCCCCCGGCUCAACUGGGGAGGGUCAUUCGAUACUGAUCGACUCGAAGGCAGGAGAGGGAAGCGGAAUUCCCGGUGUAGUGGUGAAAUGCGUAGAUAUCGGGAGGAACACCAGUGGCGAAGGCGGCUUCCUGGCCUGUUCUUGACGCUGAGGCGCGAAAGCUAGGGGAGCAAA
rnacentral:rRNA from 1 species